GUGGGUAGAGCUCAGUGGUAGAGUGCAUGCUUAGCAUGUGUGGAGUACUGGGUUCAAUUCCCAGUACCUCCA
rnacentral:tRNA from 1 species